GAUGUACUCCCUCCGUUCGGAAUUACUUGUCUCAGAAAUGGAUGUAUCUAGAACUAAAAUACGUCUAGAUACAUCCAUUUCCGCGACAAGUAAUUCCAAACGGAGGGAGUACAUG
rnacentral:pre_miRNA from 1 species